UGGAAAAUUGUGAAGGCGUACAGCCUUCAUUUCAUCAAGAGGAUAUGGUAGGAAGUAACUCAAAAGACAAAUCGUCACAUUAUUUCUAAAUUAUUAAAUGCCUUGGGAGCUUUCAAUUCAGAACCCAUGCAGUCCUUCUACAAAAGAUUUUACGAAAUACAUGUAUAGUCCUUCCUUGCCAAGGCUGAGAUUUAGGGAGAUGUGAGGCUCAGGGGAAGGCAAUGGAUUUACUUAGGAGCUAAGAGAAGUCACCAGGAGGUUGCACUCUCUAACUUGGCUUGCACAAGAGAAUGAGUGUGUUUCCUUUUGGAUAACGCUUCCAUGACAAGCAGCCUUGUGCAUGUCAAAGCACUUUAUUUACUUUAGAAAUCUAAGUAAAAAAUAAAUACAUGUCUUCCUUUUUGUUCCUUUGCUGCUUUAUAGAGUGUACAGCAAUGCAGGAUAAAGCUGAGUUGCCUCUUAAAAAUGAAAAGAGCUGGCACACAAGGAAGCUGCCUUUCAUCCCUGACCCUGAGAGCUUCAAGGUGCAUGACAGAGCUUCCCUCACGGGGAUCCACACCAGGCCAGGUGUCACCCAAACCCUCCAGGCUUUUUUCAAAAUUUUUGCAAGGAAGAUUGUGAAGUAAGCAAGCUUUGCUACCCAGGUGAGAGUAAUGGAGCAGAGAAGUGGCACAAGCCUCCUCCUGAGCCCCUCCCCUGCUUGGCUGCCAGCCCCAGCUCCUGCAGGCAAACUCAUCUGCCAAAGCAGUGUUCAGCCACAUGAGAAUUUUCCAGCAGCAGGUAAUCCACAGGUACUGAAAAGAUUAUCAGAUGUUAAAGGUUCUCAUUCAAGGUUGCCUUUAAAAUUAUAUUGUCUGUCUACUGGAAAUGUUUUAUUAUUGAAGACUUUGUCAGAGGGUGUUUCCUUAGGUAUUUUUUCUCCAAGUGGGAAUAGCAUAAGAGAGGUUUUCACUUGGUUGCCACUGUAGAAAGUCGUUUCACUAAGCAGACUAGGACUCAGAUAUUCCGUGAAGUUCUGAAUUGAAUAA